GCCUAGUUAGCUUAGUUGGUAGUGCGUCUGCCUUGUAAGCGCUAGGCCGCGUGUUCGAUUCCCGCCCGGGGCG
rfam:Asian citrus Psyllid, Diaphorina citri - Florida Strain, whole genome shotgun sequence.